AAAUUGAAGAGUUUGAUCAUGGCUCAGAUUGAACGCUGGCGGCAGGCCUAACACAUGCAAGUCGAACGGUAACAGGAAGCGCUUGCUGCUUCGCUGACGAGUGGCGGACGG
rnacentral:rRNA from 1 species